UGAGGAAUAUUGGUCAAUGGGCGAGAGCCUGAACCAGCCAAGUAGCGUGCAGGAUGACGGCCCUAUGGGUUGUAAACUGCUUUUAUGUGGGGAUAAAGUGCGUGACGUGUCAUGCAUUGCAGGUACCACAUGAAUAAGGACCGGCUAAUUCCGUGCCAGCAGCCGCGGUAAUACGGAAGGUCCGGGCGUUAUCCGGAUUUAUUGGGUUUAAAGGGAGCGUAGGCUGUCUAUUAAGCGUGUUGUGAAAUUUACCGGCUCAACCGGUGGCUUGCAGCGCGAACCGGUCGACUUGAGUAUGCAGGAAGUAGGCGGAAUUCAUGGUGUAGCGGUGAAAUGCUUAGAUAUCAUGACGAACUCCGAUUGCGCAGGCAGCUUACUGUAGCAUAACUGACGCUGAUGCUCGAAAGUGCGGGUAUCAAACAGG
rnacentral:rRNA from 1 species